AUAAUACUCCCUCUGUCCCAAAAUAAGUGACUCAAAAAUGACUCAAUUUUGUUCUAGUUUAGUAUAAAAUUGAUUCAUUUUUGAGUCACUUAUUUUGGGAUGGAGGGAGUAUAAA
rnacentral:pre_miRNA from 1 species